rnacentral:rRNA from 1 species
CAGUCGCCACGGUAAUACGAAGGGUGCAAGCGUUAAUCGGAAUUACUGGGCGUAAAGCGUGCGUAGGCGGUUUGUUAAGUCUGCUGUGAAAUCCCCGGGCUCAACCUGGGAAUGGCAGUGGAUACUGGCAAGCUAGAGUGUGUCAGAGGAUGGUGGAAUUCCCGGUGUAGCGGUGAAAUGCGUAGAGAUCGGGAGGAACAUCAGUGGCGAAGGCGGCCAUCUGGGACAACACUGACGCUGAGGCACGAAAGCGUGGGGAGCAAACAGGAUUAGAUACCCGUGUAGUCCCUGUCUCUUAUAU